ACCAUUAUUGUAUCUCCUGAAAAAUGUGGAGAUAACUGCUUCUUUCUUGCAAGAGCUCAGAUUAAAUUUAAUCUCACUUUAAUGCUUUUUUAUGUAUUUUACAGGAAGUUUGAAAAAAAUGCCCUAACGAAUACAACAACAAGAAGAGAGGCAGAGAAGGCAGUGUCCAAGUGGCUAAUCGGUGCCAGGGACAGGGGAGGUUAUCGCACUGCCAGGGCACGAGUUGGACAACAAGAUGGGGCCGUUGGUACAGUGACAACAGAGGAGUGAGGAGCUGCCCUAAUGUUGUUUUGUUUGUAUUGUUUUUAUGCAGUUAAUUAGUUGAAGUUGAUUAAACUUUUUAAAGAGUUAAUUAAAGGGUUGCUCCACAAAAAAAGAAAAAAUUGUCAUAAAUUACUUUUCCUCAUGUCGUUCCACACCUGCAAGACCUUUGUUCAUCUUCAAAACACAAAUUAAGAUAUUUUUUAUGAGAUCAGUGAGCUUAAUUUGUGUUCUGAAGAUGAUUGAAGCUCUUAUGGGUUUGAAACGACAUGAGGGUGAGUAAUUAAUGACAAAAACAUUUUUUUAGGAUGAACCCUGUAAGUUUAACUUUUCUUUUUUUCAUUUUUAAUGUUGUGUUUUAUAAAGUUUUAAAUGUAAUUUUAAGUCAAGAUCAAAUUGUUAAUAAAUUGUAAAAGUAAAGCAUGAA